CCUACGGGUGGCAGCAGUGGGGAAUAUUGCACAAUGGGGGAAACCCUGAUGCAGCGACGCCGCGUGAGUGAAGAAGUAUUUCUGUACGUAAAGCUCUAUCAGCAGGGAAGAAAAUGACGGUACCUGACUACUACGCCCCGGCUCCCUCCGUGCCAGCAGCCGCGGUCCUACGUAGGGGGCAAGCGUUAUCCGGAUUUACUGGGUGUAAAGGGAGCGUAGACGGCAGCGCAAGUCUGGAGUGAAAUCCCAUGGCUUAACCAUGGAACUGCUUUGGAAACUGUGCAGCUAGAGUGCAGGAGAGGUAAGCGGAAUGCCUAGUGUAGCGGUGAAAUGCGUAGAUAUGAGGAGGAACACCAGUGGCGAAGGCGGCUUACUGGACUGUAACUGACGUUGAGGCUCGAAAGCGUGGGGAGCAAACAGGAUUAGAUACCCGGGUAGUC
rnacentral:rRNA from 1 species